CGGUCCACAGUUGAGGGCAGAUGUAGUGCACGUGUGCGUCGAUCGCGCCCGCGGUCACGAUCAUCUUUUCUCCAGCCAUCACCUCGGUAUUGACGCCCACGAUCAUGCCUGGCGUAACCCCUUGCAUCACGUCGGGGUUGCCUCCUUUGCCAAUUCCAACGAUGUGGUUCUUCUUGAUGCCGAUGUCGGCUUUGUAGAUGCCGUUCCAGUCGAUAAUCAGCGCAUUGGUGAUGACGAGAUCGAGCGUCAUAUCGUCAGGUAGACCCGUCGCUUGUCCCAUUCCUUCA
rnacentral:sRNA from 1 species